CUGGCUCAGGAUGAACGCUAGCGGCAGGCUAACACAUGCAAGUCGAGGGGCAGCGCGGGGUAGCAAUACUCUGGCGGCGACCGGCGGAAGGGUGCGUAACGCGUGAGCAACAUGCCCGUGGCAGGGGGAUAAGCGAUGGAAACGUCGUCUAAGACCCCGUAACAACAGACCUCGCAUGGGGUUUGUUUGAAAGCUUCGGCGGCCACGGAUUGGCUCGCGUCCCAUUAGGCAGUUGGCGGGGUAACGGCCCACCAAACCGACGAUGGGUAGGGGUUCUGAGAGGAAGGUCCCCCACAAUGGAACUGAGACACGGUCCAUACUCCUACGGGAGGCAGCAGUGAGGAAUAUUGGUCAAUGGGCGGAAGCCUGAACCAGCCAUGCCGCGUGCCAGGAAUAAGGCCCUACGGGUCGUAAACUGCUUUUGUACGGGAGCAAUAAGGGUCACGAGUGGCCUGAUGAGAGUACCGUACGAAUAAGCAUCGGCUAACUCCGUGCCAGCCGCCGC
rnacentral:rRNA from 1 species